rnacentral:rRNA from 1 species
GAAAGCUAGCUGCACAUUUCUGUGCAGUAUCAACUACGUUGAAUAAAAUUCUGGGCAAUUGUUAUCAUGAAACGAUUCACCCAUGUGUCUUGACCAAAUUGCGUGCCAGCAGUCGCGGUAAUACGUAGAAGACUAGUGUUAUUCAUCUUUAAUAGGUUUAAAGAGUACCUAGACGGUAAAUCGAGCCCUAGCCGGGACUAAUUUGCUAGAGUUACUUAUAAGUGGGCUUUAAAGUACUAAUGGUGUAGAGAUAAAAUUUUAUAAUACCAUUUUUCUAAAGAAAAGUUAUGGCACUGGUAAAGGCGAAGACAUCCCCCUAUGUGAUAACUGACGUUGAAGGACGAAGGCUUUGGGUCGCGAAUAGGAUUAGAUACCCUAGUAGUCAAAGCAGAAAAUUAUGAGUGUCAUAGAUUAGACGGUUAGAUUUAUUCUAUAUUUAUUCUAUAAAUGAAAGUGUAAGCACUCCACCUCGAGAGUAAUAUGGCAACAUCGGAACUGAAAUCAUUAGACCGUUUCUGAAACCAGUAGUGAAGUAUGUUGUUUAAUUUGAUAAUCCGCAAAAAACCUUACCACAACUUGAAUAGGUAUAUCUUUGAUGUAUCAACAAGCGUUGCACGGCUGUCUUCAGUUAAUGUCGUGAGACUAUGGUUAGAUCCAUUAAAUUAACGUAAGCCCUUACUUUAUUUUUAAAUAAAGUAGUUCUCCGCUAUAUUGGAUAAGAUAAGAGGGACUAAGACAAGUCAUCAUGGCCUGAAUGUUGUGGG